ACGGCAGCACGGAGCUUGCUCUGGUGGCGAGUGGCGAACGGGUGAGUAAUWUAUCGGAACGUACCCURGAGUGGGGGAUAACGUAGCGAAAGUUACGCUAAUACCGCAUACGAUCUAAGGAUGAAAGUGGGGGAUCGCAAGACCUCAUGCUCGUGGAGCGGCCGAUAUCUGAUUAGCUAGUUGGUAGGGUAAAAGCCUACCAAGGCAUCGAUCAGUAGCUGGUCUGAGAGGACGACCAGCCACACUGGAACUGAGACACGGUCCAGACUCCUACGGGAGGCAGCAGUGGGGAAUUUUGGACAAUGGGCGAAAGCCUGAUCCAGCAAUGCCGCGUGAGUGAAGAAGGCCUUCGGGUUGUAAAGCUCUUUUGUCAGGGAAGAAACGGUGARRGCUAAUAUCYYUUGCUAAUGACGGUACCUGAAGAAUAAGCACCGGCUAACUACGUGCCAGCAGCCGCGGUAAUACGUAGGGUGCAAGCGUUAAUCGGAAUUACUGGGCGUAAAGCGUGCGCAGGCGGUUUUGUAAGUCUGAUGUGAAAUCCCCGGGCUCAACCUGGGAAUUGCAUUGGAGACUGCAAGGCUAGAAUCUGGCAGAGGGGG
rnacentral:rRNA from 1 species